GGCUAGCUUUCCCCUCGAAUUUUACCAAGUGUUACUUGAUUAAAGCGAACGAAGGCAGUUCGGCUAACCUCUUCUCGCGAUUUGAUCAAGUUAACUUGUAAAAAUUAAUGGACAAGCUCGGAGCAUUUUAAAGCUCGGCUAGCUUUCCCCUCGAAUUUUACCAAGUGUUACUUGAUUAAAGCGAACGAAGGCAGUUCGGCUAACCCCUUCUCGCGAUUUGAUCAAGUUAACUUGUAAAAAUUAAUGGACAAGCUCGGAGCAUCGUAAAGCUCGGCUAGCUUUCCCCUCGAAUUUUACCAAGUGUUACUUGAUUAAAGCGAACGAAGGCAGUUCGGCUAACCCCUUCUCGCGAUUUGAUCAAGUUAACUUGUAAAAAUUAAUGGACAAGCUCGGAGCAUCGUAAAGCUCGGCUAGCUUUCCC
rnacentral:lncRNA from 1 species